rnacentral:rRNA from 1 species
UACGUAGGAUGCAAGCGUUGUCCGGAUUUACUGGGCGUAAAGAGCGCGCAGGCGGCUGGGCAAGUCCGAUGUGAAAGCUUCCGGCUUAACUGGAAAAUUGCAUCGGAAACUGCUCGGCUUGAAGGUGGGAGAGGGUAGCGGAAUUCCCGGUGUAGUGGUGAAAUGCGUAGAUAUCUGGAGGAACACCGGUGGCGAAGGCGGCAUCCUGGACCGGUAUUGACGCUGAGGCGCGAAAGCCAGGGGAGCAAACGGG